rnacentral:piRNA from 1 species
UUUACCUUCUGCCUUUUUGAA